rnacentral:sRNA from 1 species
GUGUGUGUGUGUGUGUGUGUGUGUGUGUGUGUGUGUGUGAUCACUGUCCUGCCAAACAUCCCUGGGGCCUUCUGGUGCUGUGCUGUACAAAUCCCCCCCCUUCCCCUCUGUCUCUAUCUAUGUCUGUCUCGUAACUCUUCUUGCUCUCUAGCGCUCUCUUUCUGUCUCCUAACUUUCCUUCCUCUAAUGUUCUCGUGGGAGGCAAGUAGAUUCUGUGUGUGGUCUCCGUGAGUCCGGAUUCGUGCUGGAACAGCAACAACCUCCCUCCCUAGACUUUUCACGGGCAGAGCUGUGUUGGUUAGAGGGAAGCUUCUCCUACCUCUUCGUGGUUCUUCUUGAGGCAGACGUGGAGAAGCAAGGGCAGCUUUUUCCAAGGACGGAAGGCAUAGUUCAGUGUUCGCUUCCUCCAGAGCUUUCACAUUAUCCAGGGGCUGAUCCAGUGUCACAGGCUAAGUGAGACAGAGACAGGCCCUGUCUUCCUGGUUUACUAUGCAGGUGGAUGAAGGACUAUUAGCUACGGAAACAGGAUCUUACUAUUGACCAGGCCUGGAAUUUGCCAUGUAUCUCAGGCUGAUCAAAGAAGGCAAUGCCAAACACCCGAGGCUGGCUGUUUUAUAAAGAAAAGAGAUCUCUCUAACUGACAGUUUUGGAAACUGAGAAUCUGUGAUUGGGCAGCACCAUCUUUUCAGCUUCUGGUGACGGUCCCUUUGUCUUCAUCACAAUGUGGUAGAGAAACGGGAAGGGAAAAGCUUCUGAAGAAGAAGCAAAUACUUGGGGAUGGCUUUGCUUUAAAACAGCCCUUCCACAAGAGCUGAUUGGGUCCCACAAGCAAAACUGUGUGAGUCCUUUUUGAGGCAGAGUCCCUAAUGAACACUGAGCCAAUUGCCUUCCGCGGCGUGUAACCUCUGAAAGGUUCCACUCCCUCAAAGCCAUCACCUGGAGACCAAGUUUCCAGCACAGAAACCUCAAGACAUACGCAAACCACAUUCAAACUUUAGCAACUGGAGAGGGGAGACCAAUGUACAGAAUUUUAAAAUAGGUAGAUGCCGUUCAAAUCCAGAAACCAGCCACAGGGACUGGGCUCAACGGAUAUGGGCUAUGGAACGAGGAACAAGUGGACCAUGAUGUUAAGUGGACAUGGAAUCGUGAUGUCGGAGGUGAGAGAAAUGGACCUGCAGCCAGUUGCUGAUAUCCUUUGAUGAUGGGCUGACAAGAGUAUGUGGUAAGGGGCAUUUGGGUGCCAUCUUCUGUAAAAGCAUUUUAGCAUAUCACAAAACAAAACCAAUGAGACCCUACAUCAAACAAAGUUGAAGGUUAGGGUUGACACUGGAAGUUGUCUUCUGACCUCUAUAUGGAGGGCAUAGCAUUGCACAGAUACAGACAUAGACACACAGACACACACAACACACACACACACACACACACACACACACACACAAAUAAAUUGAAAAAGAAUUAAGUGUCACAAAGCUGGACGUAGCAUUGUGGAUGGACGGAAGAUGGGUUUAUUUGUAUUAUCUGUCUUAAAGUUCAUAGAUGGGGUGUGUGGAGUGGAAGCGAAAGGAAAGAUUCAGGGUGACACCAGAGGAGGGAGAGAAGACAGAAGCUGAAAACUGGGAGGAGAGAGUGCACCAGUAGGGAGAGAGACAGGGACAGGGACUAAUGAGGGGCUUCUGACAGAUGUUACUGCUAGGACAUCUAGAGGAAAGACACAUUGAAUAGUUAAUGCUGUAAGGCAGAUUCUCCAUUAAAUGCUCUCUCUCUCUCUCUCUCUCUCUCUCUCUCUCUCUCUCUCUCUC